GCUACCAUGCAAGUCGAGCGGAGAUUGGAGCUUGCUCCAUGAUUCAGCGGCGGACGGGUGUAGUAAUGCCUAGGAAUCUGCCUGGUAGUGGGGGACAACGUUUCGAAAGGAACGCUAAUACCGCAUACGUCCUACGGGAGAAAGCAGGGGACCUUCGGGCCUUGCGCUAUCAGAUGAGCCUAGGUCGGAUUAGCUAGUAGGUGAGGUAAUGGCUCACCUAGGCGACGAUCCGUAACUGGUCUGAGAGGAUGAUCAGUCACACUGGAACUGAGACACGGUCCAGACUCCUACGGGAGGCAGCAGUGGGGAAUAUUGGACAUGGGGCAAAACCUGAUCCACCCUUGCGCGGUGUGAAGAAGGUCUUCGGAUUGUAAGCCUUUAAGUUGGGAGAAGGGCCAUA
rnacentral:rRNA from 1 species